GACUGCCAUGGAGCAAAUUCCCCAUCCAGGGCAUCAUCCAGUUAACAGAGUAAUUGGAUCUGCUGGAGGCAUGUUCAUCAGCUGUGGGAUGCACAGUGAAUCCAGUCUGGGCUCUGUCUCUGGUUCACCACGUGCCAUGAAUCCAGCAAUUCACCACUGCUUGAAGCUUUCCUGACUUCCCUGGCAUUUUCAGGAAGGUCCAUGGUCAAUGACCCUGUGGAAGCAGGAGACUUGUGUUUCUCUUAAGCUUGAUACUGAGAGAAGGAGCUGGAGGUUAUGGAUGGCUUCAUUCCUUCCAACUGUGUAUUUAAUGAGGGGAAAAAAUGCCAGCAGAUAAAAGGUCACAAGCUUGGGACACAGGACUAAGUCUUGCCACGAGCUCAGCUGGGGAACCCUUUGUGUGGACUGAGCAGAUCUGUGUUUCUCCAUCCCUCUGAAGGGCUGUGGGGCCAGUCCAGGAGUUGUUUGUCCAAGACAGUGAUAUAGGGCAACAUCCUUUAGGGCUGCAGAGGGACAGGAAGGCACAGGGUGCUCUUCAUCCUGAGAAACAUCGAUGGAGACAGACAUUCCUCACCUUGCAGUGCAUCACCAUCACCACCAAAACUGCUCCUGGCUCCUCCAGAUCGUCUCAAUUUUAUAGUUAUUAUAUUUAUUUCAUAUUUAUCUACCUGUUAUUUUUAUGACUGAGCCAUCCCUAUUUCCUCCCCCAAACUGCAAGAUUUCAGUGCAGUCGUCAGGGGAUGCUGAGGGUGACAGGGACCUGAUUUACCUGCUCCAAUAAUCCCUGCCAGUGACUUUCCUCCUGUUUUAUGUACAUCCCUCUUAUCUCCUGGAAGGGGUUGCUGGUUAACUCCCCCAGAGCAGGCAAACACAUCUAUUGUGCAAACAGUGUUUCCUGACUUGGUGGACAAAAGAUAUCUUCAUUUCCAGUUGCUGGGUAACCUCAAAUAUUCCCAUUUUCACUCUCAGUAAUCUCUUCAGAGCUCACUAGUUCACCAUGGCUUCUGCUGCAUGGAUGGAGACCUUGCAAGGGCUUGUUGGGGCAGCUUGAGUAGGCAAAAAAAAAUGAAAGAGAGGUUGAAAUACAGAGGAAGUAACAGGAAAAUGGCUCUGUAAGACCUCCCUGUAAAUG